UACGGGGGGGGUAAGCGUUGUUCGGAAUUACUGGGCGUAAAGGGCUCGUAGGCGGCCAACUAAGUCAGACGUGAAAUCCCUCAGCUUAACUGGGGAACUGCGUCUGAUACUGGAUGGCUUGGAUUUGGGAGAGGAGUGCGGAAUUCCAGGUGUAGCGGUGAAAUGCGUAGAUAUCUGGAGGAACACCGGUGGCGAAGGCGGCAUUCUGGACCAAUAUUGACGCUGAGGAGCGAAAGCCAGGGGAGCAAACGGG
rnacentral:rRNA from 1 species